UUAACCUACGGGAGGCAGCAGUAGGGAAUUUUCGGCAAUGGGGGGGAACCCUGACCGAGCAACGCCGCGUGAAGGAAGAAGGAAUUCGUUCUGUAAACUUCUGUUAUAAAGGAAGAAAGACGGAUGGAGGAAAUGACAUCCGAGUGAUGGUACUUUAUGAGAAAGCCACGGCUAACUACGUGCCACCAGCCGCGGUAAUACGUAGGUGGCAAGCGUUAUCCGGAAUUAUUGGGCGUAAAGAGGGAGCAGGCGGCAGCAAAGGUCUGUGGUGAAAGACUGAAGCUUAACUUCAGUAAGCCAUAGAA
rnacentral:rRNA from 1 species